GGGAGGCGGGACAAAGGGAGCGCGCAUUCAGCCGGCGCGCGUGCUCGUCUUCUGUGCGGGCCGCGGCUCCACGUAAUGGCGGAGCAUGAGGAGACUUAGCAACGCUUCAGAACUGAGGGGUUACACUGUGUUCCUGUGUCUGAAAUUCUUCCUGCUGCUCCAGCCAAGCUACUACUAAGGAGUAACAUAUUUCACGGGUUCUCUAGCUUCAACACCUUUUCAGAAUGUCUCAUCAAGCAGCAAGAAUUUGGCCAGGACUCUCAGACAGUGCUACCACAUGGAGUCAGUACAGCGCACUGCAUCCUGUGACAAGCAGCCGAGGGCCCAGCCUGUGCUCCUCUUGCACUCUGCUUAUCUCAACCUUGGACUUAGCUCGUUGUCCUAGACUUUCUGUUUCCGGUCUGCCUCACCACUAAUGCCACAUGAGUUCCGAAGGGCAGGAAGGCGUCAUGCCUCACGACUCUGUAUCUCAGCUUCCAGCUCAGUGCUGACACCUGCUAGGUACUCCACAAAUGUUUGCCAGCAAAAGAAUGCAAGCAUGCUUAAUUGGUCAGAUAGGAGGAGUAGC